UACGGGGGGGGCAAGCGUUGUUCGGAAUUACUGGGCGUAAAGGGCGCGUAGGCGGUUCGCUAAGUCGAAUGUGAAAACUCUGGGCUUAACCCAGAGCCUGCAUUAAAUACUGGCGGGCUAGAGUUCUGGAGGGGAUAGCGGAAUUCCUGGUGUAGCGGUGAAAUGCGUAGAUAUCAGGAGGAACACCGGUGGCGAAGGCGGCUAUCUGGACAGAGUCUGACGCUGAGGCGCGAAAGCUAGGGGAGCAAACAGG
rnacentral:rRNA from 1 species